rnacentral:rRNA from 1 species
GUGGGGAAUAUUGGGCAAUGGGCGAAAGCCUGACCCAGCAACGCCGCGUGAGGGAAGAAGGUUUUCGGAUUGUAAACCUCUGUCCUUGGUGACGAACACAAUGACGGUAGCCAAGGAGGAAGCCCCGGCUAACUACGUGCCAGCAGCCGCGGUAAUACGUAGGGGGCAAGCGUUGUCCGGAAUGACUGGGCGUAAAGGGCGUGUAGGCGGCCGAUUAAGUCUGGAGUGAAAGUCCUGCUUUCAAGGUGGGAAUUGCUUUGGAGACUGGUUGGCUUGAGUGCGGAAGAGGCAAGUGGAAUUCGCAGUGUAGCGGUGAAAUGCGUAGAGAUUGGGAGGAACACCAGUGGCGAAGGGGACUUGCUGGGCCGUAACUGACGCUGAGGCGCGAAAGCGUGGGGAGCGAACAGGAUUAGAAACCCGAGUAGUCC